rnacentral:misc_RNA from 1 species
GUUUUAACACUUUUCAAUCAACAUUAGUUUUCUUGACUUCUUAUAUCUACUAUGGGUUCUGAGACUCAAUUGGGUCCAUACACAUGUAGAUAUAGAAUCUUUGAUGUUUAGAACUCCUAUUUAACUUAUUAUAGAAUUGGUAGCAUAAAUGAAUGAUAAAACACAUUAUCCUCAAAUAAUAGAAGUAAUGCAGCAUAUAACCUAUAAUUUGAAGUUAAUUGUGUCAUUAGAACAAUCAUUCAAAGUUGAUUGCAAUUUUCUGUUGGAG